rnacentral:rRNA from 1 species
UACGUAGGGGGCAAGCGUUGUCCGGAUUUAUUGGGCGUAAAGAGCGUGUAGGCGGCCUUACAGGUCAGCUGUGAAAACUCGAGGCUCAACCUCGAGACGUCGGUUGAAACCGUAAGGCUAGAGUCCGGAAGAGGAGAGUGGAAUUCCUAGUGUAGAGGUGAAAUUCGUAGAUAUUAGGAAGAACACCAGUGGCGAAGGCGGCUCACUGGUCCGGUACUGACGCUGAGGUGCGAAAGCGUGGGGAGCAAACAGG